rnacentral:rRNA from 1 species
GACGAACGCUGGCGGCGUGCCUAAUACAUGCAAGUAGGACGCAGUUGCGAACGGGUGAGUAACGCGUAGGUAACUGCCUAUUAGAGGGGGAUAACUAUUGGAAACGAUAGCUAAUACCGCAUACUAGUAGAUGGACCUGCGUUGUAUUAGCUAGUAGGUAGGGUAAUGGCCUACCUAGGCGACGAUACAUAGCCGACCUUGGAGGGUGAUCGGCCACACUUGGAAUGGGACCCGGCCCCGAAUCCUACGGGAGGCAGCAGUAGGGAAACUUUGGCAAGGGGGGGAACCCUGACCGCGCAACGCCGCGGGAGUGAAGAAGGUUUUCGGAUCGUAAAGGUAUGUUGUUAAGGAAGCGGUACUUAACCAGAAAGGGACGGCUAACUACGUGCCAGCCGCCGCGGUAAUAC